rnacentral:rRNA from 1 species
CUGGGAAAGCUUUUGCGGUAUGGGAUGGGGUCGCGUCCUAUCAGCUUGAUGGCGGGGUAACGGCCCACCAUGGCUUCGACGGGUAGCCGGCCUGAGAGGGCGACCGGCCACAUUGGGACUGAGAUACGGCCCAGACUCCUACGGGAGGCAGCAGUGGGGAAUAUUGCACAAUGGGCGCAAGCCUGAUGCAGCGACGCCGCGUGCGGGAUGACGGCCUU